ACUGCGCCGGCCCCUCCAUGGGUUAUUUUGGGUACAUGAACGUAACCAAGAUCCCGGCUGGGGCCACCAACAUCAAGGUGACAGACAAGAGCCGCAACUACCUAGCCCUGAUGAGCAGCGACCGGCGCUACGUGCUCAACGGGGACUGGGCCAUCGCGUGGCCCGGCGCCUACGAGGCGGCCGGCAC